GUCGACGAGUUCUCGUUGAUGAUCGGUGCUUGCACCGAGAUUCAACAUCGAACGAGUGGCGGACGGGUGAGUAACACGUGGGUAACCUGCCCUUAAGUGGGGGAUAACAUUUGGAAACAGAUGCUAAUACCGCAUAGAUCCAAGAACCGCAUGGUUCUUGGCUGAAAGAUGGCGUAAGCUAUCGCUUUUGGAUGGACCCGCGGCGUAUUAGCUAGUUGGUGAGGUAAUGGCUCACCAAGGCGAUGAUACGUAGCCGAACUGAGAGGUUGAUCGGCCACAUUGGGACUGAGACACGGCCCAAACUCCUACGGGAGGCAGCAGUAGGGAAUCUUCCACAAUGGACGCAAGUCUGAUGGAGCAACGCCGCGUGAGUGAAGAAGGCUUUCGGGUCGUAAAACUCUGUUGUUGGAGAAGAAUGGUCGGCAGAGUAACUGUUGUCGGCGUGACGGUAUCCAACCAGAAAGCCACGGCUAACUACGUGCCAGCAGCCGCGGUAAUACGUAGGUGGCAAGCGUUAUCCGGAUUUAUUGGGCGUAAAGCGAGCGCAGGCGGUUUUUUAAGUCUGAUGUGAAAGCCCUCGGCUUAACCGAGGAAGCGCAUCGGAAACUGGGAAACUUGAGUGCAGAAGAGGACAGUGGAACUCCAUGUGUAGCGGUGAAAUGCGUAGAUAUAUGGAAGAACACCAGUGGCGAAGGCGGCUGUCUGGUCUGUAACUGACGCUGAGGCUCGAAAGCAUGGGUAGCGAACAGGAUUAGAUACCCUGGUAGUCCAUGCCGUAAACGAUGAAUGCUA
rnacentral:rRNA from 1 species